rfam:Haemonchus placei strain MHpl1 genome assembly, scaffold: HPLM_scaffold0000109
GGUCCAAAUUUGAAGUAGAGUAGAUUAGUACGAUCAGUUGACCCUACUAAACUGCUCUACUUUGAGUUUGUGCCC